rnacentral:misc_RNA from 1 species
AGUCACGACCCAGGCUCAUAUUAGGUUGGGUCAUUAAAAUGGUUUGCGGCUAGAGUGAGGCUGGCAGAAAAAAAUCACGACAAUAACAUGUUUGUGUGACUAUACGCAGGCAAACUUUCUAUCAUAUGUAUUAUUGGAUUAUCACGCAUGCACUGAAUGAUCCUCGUGAUUUUCUUUUGUCAGUUUCACUUUAUGCCUUUUUUAGAAUUGUUAUCAGCCGAAAUCAUGUAUUGUUCUGACAGUAGUUAGACGGUAAGACAGAGGCAAAAACAGGAUGUGACACUGAAUUGAACGAAAUAUCUUUUAAAUGGUAGUCUUUAGGACCCAGAACACGUUGCACCUAUUUCCAAUCAUUUUUAUUGUCUGCCGUCCACAGGUAAGCCAGAGGAAACGGACAUAGAUAUAGACAUAGAAACAUUGGAAGAAUUACCUGGAAGAAUAUCAUCUUCUGCUGCAGAAAAAAAAAUCACACCACAUAAGACUGGGAGUUUUUCAAGUAGAAUAAAAAGCCCUCUAUUUCGUUAUAGUCCACCGCUGAAUAUUCCUAACAAGCAUAAAAAAAAAAGGGCAACUACCAAAAAAAAAACAAAAAAAAAUUUGACUUUGUCACCUCAAAAAGUGCCAAUACCGGAAAUUACUAAAAUUUUUUUAAAGCCAAUGCCAUCGUUGAUUGAAAUUGCUUCUCUUACUUCCGAUGAUGAAGACCCUCUGAGUACUUGUGAUAAUAUUAAUUCAACUCAAAAACAAUAUAAAUAUAGAUUCAUUGACCAGCAUAAUAGAGGGAAAUGUUUGAAAGAACGUCAACGCCGAAAUGAAUUGAUGAUGGCAUUUCAGAAGUUGAGAUGUCUCCUGCCGGCUAUUAAAUCAAAUAAAAACGCAACAAAAGUUUUAAUUUUAACGGAAGCAACAAAUUAUUGUCGACUAUUGAUGAAAACUGAAAAAAAAAAAAUUUCAAUGUUACGACAGUUGAAUGAUUAUCACAUCAAUCUUUCAGUAACACUCAUUGAAUUGAAACGAGAUUUAAAUAUUAAAUGAGACAAAGUGAAGAAUUAAAAUUUGUUUUAUAUUUUUAUAUACUUUUUAAGUUGGAAAUUUCAUUAAGGAAAUUAUAAUCGUUAACAUAAAAAUUUUAUUUAGAAUUAUAGAAAUUACAUUGUCAAUUGUAAAAAAAAAAUAAUUAGAACUUUUAUAUAAAAUUCAUGUUGAAAUAUAUUUUUGCAUUACAUUCUUAAUGAAAAUAGCCUGAUCCAAUCCGCACCAGGAUUUGAUGGAACUAAAAAUAUUUGUAAAACAAAUAAAUUUUCAUAUUUUCAUCUUGAUUAAGUCCCGAUCCAGAUUGGAUCAGGUUAUCGCUUUUAAGGAUGUGACAGAGCUGGCUUAAUCGAUUUAAAUCAAGCUAGCCAAACCACAAGUGAUAGCUUGAUUCUAUCCGAAUCAGGACUCGAUCAAGGUAAAAAUAUUUAGAGACUGAAUGAAUUUGAUAUUUUUAUCUUGAUUAAGUCCUGAUCCGGGAAAAAUAUUUAAAUAUUAUUUAUAAAUCAUUUAACAUAUAGCUUUAUUCUUCAAAUGCUUUUUACCAUCAAGAUUUAUGACUUGUCUAUUUUGCCAUUUGUUUGUCGUUUGUGUGUCGGUUUUGUGUGAGAUCAGUGAACGAACCGACUGUCGUCAUCGGUAGUUAUAUUCGCUAGAACAUAUCGCGGUGGCUUUAAGAGUAAAAAUAAAAAUUUCGAAAAUUUGGUUUUUCUGGGCUAUUGCCAACGGUUGUUUAUAUACAUACGUUUGUAUAUAUAGAUA